CUAAUCUUUUUGCCUGUGUAUGUGUGUAUGUGUAUAAAGUACUUGUAAAUAGUUCCAAAGAAUGUCCUUUGGAAGAUUCUGGAGAUUUUGAAGAAAUUCUAUGGAGUUGAUAAGGAAAAUUUCUUCUGUUUUUCUCAGGUAAGUGUGUUUACAUUUGUUUAUCGUUCUGUAGGAUGAAAAUGCUGUUAUUAAAAUAUUAUUAUUCAUGAGUAAGCAUUUUAUCUUAGGUUUUCAUUUCCAAUGAAAAUAUAAAAUUCUGGUUAAGGAAUCUGUUGCCAUUCAGAUAUCAUUAUUCUUGGAUUCAAAAAGUAAUUUGUGUUUUGAUUUUUAGUGAAUAUGUAAAUGCUGGUUAUGCGCAUAUUCAGUAUACCCUUGCUAUAAGUGGUUUUAAAAAAGCAUGUUUCUUACUCCUUUAAAUAGAGACACCUGAUAAAUUGGGAAGGAGGGUGGAGGUCUUGGUCACAGUGCAAUUGGUUUAUAACUUUAGGUCCUGCUCAUUGGUUUUUUGGUGGAGGGAAGUUAGGAAGAAUUCAGAAUUUACAGUCUUGUGAAUGAUUUCUUUUUUUAAUGUAGGCAAAUCCUGUGUGUGUGUGCUAAGUCACUUCAGUCAUGUUCGACUCUUUGAGACCCUAUGGACCGUAGCCCACCAGCCUCUGUACAUGAAUUCUACAGACAAGAAUACUGGAGUGGGUUGCCAUGCCCUCCACCAGGGGAUCUUCCCGAACCAGGGAUCAAACCUGCAUCUCAUCUCCUGCAUUGGCAGUCAAUCCACCAAUCCUGUGGUCCCUCUGUACUUAAAGCACCACAAGGAGCAACGGAAUCUCUACCCUCGAGGAGUCUUAAUCGAGAGUGGAUCAUGUCAUUCUUUCCUGAGGCCCAGGAGGGGUGAGUUGUCCUGUGUGCUGUGCAGGGGCGGGGCGCCGCCCCUGCUGAAGCUGGUGCGUUCCAUUGGACAAUGUGGCCUUUUCUGCUCGACUCUCACUGGGCAUGUACAGUGAGAUGUGGGUGCGGCUGACCAUCCAUUGCAACAAUUCCCAAGCUUCCAGAGUAAGGCAUUUUCAAAUAAAAAGAUGUGUAUAUUGUAAUUACUAAUUCUGUUUACCCUCUUUUCUGUGAAAGGACUACAGAAACUUGACUUUUAAAAAUUAGCGUGUGAAAAGUCAUUCUCUCUCUCUCUCUCCCCCUGCCCCCAGAUCCCCUCUUCUCUUGCUUUGAACUACAUUCUUGUAUUCACUCUGCAACUUUUUAUUGUGAGCCUUGUGGUGUGUUGUUGAAAAUACAGCCGAGGACGGUUUUAUUCUUAUUGAACUGAGGGCCCUAAUGAGAGAUGCAGAUGCUAUGCUGUUUCUAGUGGGGUUUUAAUUUUGUUUGUUUGCUUGUUUUUAAGAAUACCUUCUGCACAUAUAUCUGUAAUAUAUAUUCUCUCAUUAAAAAAAAUACAAAUGGUG
ensembl:lncRNA